GGUCAAGUAAUGAAGAGCAUAAGGCGAAUGCCUUGGCAUCGGGAGCCGAAGAAGGACGUGACAAGCUGCGAAAAGCUUGGGUGAGGAGCAAAUAUCCGCUAUAGCCCAAGAUGUCCGAAUGAGGGAACUCA
rnacentral:rRNA from 1 species